UAACUCAGAGGCUCAGAGCGUAAAUAAGAUAGGCCCAGUUGUCUUGUUGUGUGUGUGGAGUUGUGACAUAAGAUGGCUUGUGGUUAGUUUCCAUAACAACCUCAUCAGGGUAAAGUCUCCACAAACCCGGCAGUGUUACGAGCUUGGGAAAGCUGGAAAUCAGAUCAAAUCGGGAUUGAGGAAGUGACUCCUUGGCCAAUUAAAACAAGAUAAGAGAAACACUGGAAAUGAUGACUGAAUAGGCAUCAUCACACAACCAAACAUCAAACUGCCUGACAAAUAAAACCUGACGCUGAUGAGAAGAGUUUCGGGGGAAGCUGAGUGAGGAAAAGAGAUUCCUGGUCCCUCUAAUCUCGACGGAUCUCCCUGCACACACACACAGAGAGCCCCUCUGUUCAGUCCGCACGUCUGUGAGGAAACUGGACCCUGAGCACGCACUAACGAGGGGCCUGAAACUCCUGGCUCACGUGACCGAAACUGGAGAAGCACACUUGUUUACAAAUUGUCCGGGAGGAGGGGAACGAAUGUGAAUAUCAGCCAAAUGCUUUAAUUAAGGUGAGCCUCCUCCCUAAAUUCCUUUUCCAGUUAAGGUUACCUCACCUCACCCUGUGAAGAGAUGUGUUCCAAUGCCGUCAGAUAGUAUAGCCUA